rnacentral:lncRNA from 1 species
ACCCCGCCGCGCCGCCUGGCUGACACGUCACGCUCUGCUUGCUUUGUCAACCCUCCCGUUUAAUUCCAUUCCAUUCCAUGAUUCCAUCACCUAUUCACCUGCACCCUGCAUGCAUGCACUAGUCGUUGGGUAACUUUUUCCUGUUCGCUAAUAAACCAUGACUACUGUUCGCUAAUUUGGAGAAAACCAUCGUUGAAUGUGAGACAGAUUUGACAGAUAAUCUGAAGCUAAAAACACUGCUGAUGAUCUGUCACAUGCAUGCAGGUCGGCGAUGGUGACUCGGACCACGACUGCUGGAUGCGGCCGGAGGACAUGACGACGAGCCGUCAGGCCUACCGCCUUGACCCCCAGAACCCCGGCUCCGAACUCGCCGGGGAGACCGCGGCAGCAAUGGCGGCGGCGUCGCUCGUGUUCCGCAGCUCCAACCCCGGCUACGGCAACACUCUACUCCAGCACUCCAAGCAGGUACGUAUGGCGGAGACCAGGAUCGACAUGCAUUGUACUUUGAUGUCAUAUUCUCCAACAAGAUUAUUGACGAACACGAUGGAAACAUAUAUGUAUAUAUGUUAUAUGUAGCUGUUCGAUUUCGCGGACAAGUACCGGGGGCGGUACGACAGCAGCAUCACGGUGGCGCGCAAGUACUACGCCUCGUCGAGCGGGUACGGCGACGAGCUGCUGUGGGCGGCGGCCUGGCUGCACGAGGCGACCGGCGAGUCGCGCUACCUGGACUACCUGGCCACCAACGCCGACGCGCUGGGCGGGACCGGCUGGUCCAUCAACCAGUUCGGCUGGGACGUCAAGUACCCCGGCGUGCAGGUCCUGGCCGCCAUGUUCCUCCUGCGGCGUGGCGGCAACGCCGGAGCGCACGCCGACGUGCUGCGGCGGUACAAGCAGAAGGCGGACCUGUUCGCGUGCUCCUGCCUCGGCAGGGGCGGCGCCAACAGCGUGCGGCGGACGCCCGGCGGGAUGGUCUACCACCAGAGCUGGAACAACGUGCAGUUCGUGACCAGCGCCGCGUUCCUCCUCGCCGCCUACGCCGACCACCUCGCCGCGGCGGGGCAGGCCGCGCAGUGCCCGUCGGCCGGCGGGUCGUCCGCGCAGCCGUCGGAGCUCCUGGCCUUCGCUAGGUCCCAGGUGGACUACAUCCUGGGCAGCAACCCGAGGGCGACGAGCUACAUGGUCGGGUACGGCGCCACGUACCCGCGGCAGGCGCACCACCGCGGCGCCUCCAUCGUCUCCGUCAAGGCCAACCCCUCGUUCGUCAGCUGCCAGGCCGGGUACAGCAGCUGGUACCACCGCCGGAGCGCCAACCCCAACCUGCUCGACGGCGCCACCGUCGGCGGGCCCGACGAGUACGACAACUUCGCCGACGAGAGGGAUAACUACGAGCAGACGGAGGCCACCACCUACAACAACGCCCCGCUCAUGGGCGUGCUCGCUCGGUUGGCCGCCGGUCACGGCGGCGGCCGGUUUGGUCACCACUCUGUCGCCGCCGAUUUGCCUGCAGAAGCUUCUUCCUCCACGGCCAUUAAUCGGACCUCACUGCCAUCUCCUACUCCGGGUAAUCACUCAAAAUUUUCUACUUCUUGAUGCAGUAACUGCAUGAACAUACAUGUCAUCUGAUUAUACAUCGCUGUUCUCAAGAUUCUCUUGACGCGAUGACUGAUCCGAGCUUCGUUAUGUGCAUGCUGCAGCAGCUCCUGAGCACGCGUCGCCCAUUGAGAUCGAGCAGAACGCGACGGCGUCGUGGACGGAGCGGGGCAAGACGUACCACCGGUACGCGGUGACGGUGACCAACAGGUCGCUCAUCAAGACCGUCCACGAGCUCCACAUCGGCAUCUCCAAGCUCUACGGCCAGGUGUGGGGCGUCGACAAGGCGCGGUACGGCUACGUGCUCCCGAGCGGGCUGCCGUCGCUGCCCGCCGGCAAGAGCGCCUCGUUCGUGUACGUCCAGGCCGCGCCGCCGGCCGACGUCUGGGUCACCGGCUACAAGCUCCUCUGAUACGGCACCCGAAGUAGCGAGUGGCCCUUUGUGUGUGUGUUUAUUAUGUGGAAGGAGUGAAAUGGAGGUUUACAAAAAAAGGGGGCAACGAGUGAUGGGGCUAGUAACGAUCUCGGUCAUCCUCAUUGUCCAUUAAUAUAGAAGUUAAGCAUUCAGCAGCUAUAGUGUGUUGCUUGUUUAGUUGUGUGGUGAUUGGAAUUGGAAUAGUAAGAUGAAUUGUAUGCUACAAUACAACAUAAUGGAAUUUGAGUUCUAAAAAAACUGGACCGUCUUGUUCAUUUAGCUCAUAAGCCAUGACAGAAAAUAUUGAUGACUGAUUUGUUAUGAGAGAAAAUCAUUGUUGGAUGGCUGAUAAAUUCGGCUGAUAAGCUCAAGCGAAUAGGCUAACCCAAGAAGUUUUUUUCAGUGGCUAAGUUUGUACUAUUUGCAUACUGGUGGGAAUUUUGUUCACUUGAAGUCACAGUCACUGAUUGGUUUACCAAGAUUUCUAUUCUCGAUCAGCGCUUUCCAAAAUUGCCACUCUCUAUCAGCACGACUCGCUUUCCAAAUCCAACGGUUCAUCGAGUUUGAAAGGAUAUCUUCGUCGAUGGCCUGAUGCUCCAAGUUUGCGCAUUAAGACUGUCUCCAACAGCUCAUGCAAAGGGAGACCUAAACCUAAAAUAGGUAGUGCACAGUGUAAAUAGGUGAUGAAAACUGGCUCUAACAGACAGGGACGAAGCCAGAAAAAAAAUUUAGGAGGGGCUGAACAAAAGUUAUAUAUCAACUUAGCUCUACUAUUACUCUUCGUAAAUAUAGAUUAACGAUGAAAUUCACAAAAUAUAUCUAAAAAAUAAAGUGUUCAGUCCACCCUACCUUAUAAAUUUGUGUCUAAAAUUAGAAGAAUAGCACUAAAAAUUCCACUGGGCCAGCAGCGGUAGGAGGGGCUGGAGCCCCCCUAGCCCCCCUGCUGGCUUCGUCGCUGCCAACAGAAGACUCAAAGCAAGUAGUCAUUUUGGGUGGAGGCCAACAACAACGCAAAUUUGCAUCGUCUUUCUGCAAGACGCAAAGUCUUCGACGCCCGUAGUGGUGGGGUCGAGGUGGAGCAGUGGUGGGUGCAAGGUGGGAACACAGCGGGAGCUCACCGGUGACAGAGCCUGAAGACGACGGUGAGGCGGGACUGACGACAGCGAGGCAGCAAGGGAGGCGCCGCCGCCAUGGGAGCACCUCCGGAGCCGCACGGCUUGGCUGCCUCGUCGGGAAGGAAGGAGGCCACGCAGGGGAGGAAGCUCGCCGACGAGGAGGGGGGGCAACAAAGACGGCGAGGUGGGGAGGGAGGCGAGCGGCGCCAUGGGAGCACCUCUGGAGCCGCCGGCUUGGCUGCCUCCCCGGAUCUGGGCUGGGAGGAAACGCUUGAGGGAGGGAGGGAGGGGAGGGAGGGAAGAAGAGAGGAGGCCGUGCAGGGGAGGGCGCUCACCGGCAAGGGAGCCGACGACGACGGUGAUGUGGGCCCAAGACAACAACGGGGGCGAGACGGAGUUCACCAGGAAGCUGGGGUCGUUGUUGGAGAAGCACGGUUUUAGGUCUGUGACCCAUCUGGUGCAGGGAACCCAAAUCGUAGAAUGGGUCACCGAUUUAGCUAUCGGUUGUUGGAGACAGCCUUAU